CCUGAAGUGCUGGCCCCUGAACUUCUACUUCCUGUUUCACCCUGACCUGGAAGAGAGAUGGGAACAACCAAACUCAUGACAUGGUGCUGGUGUUGACCAGGGCUGCAGGGGAUGGGAAUUUCCAUCAGUGGACAGCUGUGACUUUGGCUUCCUGGGAGGAGCAAGAUGCAUGUUAUGUGAAUCAUGAGCUGCUAAUUUAGCCCCUCGCCCUGAGAAGGGAA
rnacentral:lncRNA from 1 species